rnacentral:rRNA from 1 species
GAUGAACGCUAGCGGGAGGCCUAACACAUGCAAGCCGAGCGGUAUUGUUUCUUCUGAAAUGAGGGAGCGGCGUACGGGUGCGUAACACGUGUGCAACCUGCCUUUAUCUGGGGGAUAGCCUUUCGAAAGGAAGAUUAAUACUCCAUAAUAUAUUGAACGGCAUCGUUUAAUAUUGAAAGCUCCGGCGGAUAGAGAUGGGCACGCGCAAGAUUAGCUAGUUGGUGAGGUAACGGCUCACCAAGGCGAUGAUCUUUAGGGGGCCUGAGAGGGUGAUCCCCCACACUGGUACUGAGACACGGACCAGACUCCUACGGGAGGCAGCAGUGAGGAAGAUUGGUCAAUGGGUGCAAGCCUGAACCAGCCAUCCCGUGUGAAGGACGACUGCCCUAUGGGUUGUAAACUUCUUUUGUAUAGGGAUAAACCUACCCUCGAGAGGGUAGCUGAAGGUACUAUACGAAUAAGCACCGGCUAACUCCGUG